rnacentral:misc_RNA from 1 species
AUCGACACUUUGAACGCACAUUGCAGGCCUGUGCUUGUAACAGGCCUACCCUUGUGUCAGGGUCGGUUAAACACCAUCCAUCAGAGUCUUGUGCUCUGCUCUGUCCCCUCGGGUGGCGCUCAGUGCUCUCCGGGGGACUAAGGUGUGCCUGGUUGGCUUGACUCGCCUCACAACUCUUGGGACUCAACUCCCGGGUUGUUGGCUCUGCUCAGUCAGCAAUGUGGGCACAGACAUGUGAGACGCACACUCGCUUGAGCCGUCUCUAUCCUUGUCGCAAACACACACAACUUUCGACCUGACAUCAAGGGAGGC